rnacentral:rRNA from 2 species
ACCUGGUUGAUCCUGCCAGUAGUCAA